GACGAACGCUGGCGGCGUGCUUAACACAUGCAAGUCGAACGGAAAGGCCCUGCUUUUGUGGGUUGCUCGAGUGGCGAACGGGGGAGUAACACGUGAGUAACCUGCCCUUGACUUUGGGAUAACUUCAGGAAACUGGGGCUAAUACCGGAUAGGAUCUUCUGCUGCAUGGUGGUCGUUGGAAAGUUUCGGCGGUUGGGGAUGGACUCGCGGCUUAUCAGCUUGUUGGUGGGGUAGUGGCUUACCAAGGCUUUGACGGGUAGCCGGCCUGAGAGGGUGAACGGCCACAUUGGGACUGAGAUACGGACCAGAAUCCUACGGGAGGCAGCAGUGGGGAAUAUUGCACAAUGGGCGGAAGCCUGAUGCAGCAACGCCGCGUGCGGGAUGACGGCCUUCGGGUUGUAAACCGCUUUCGCCUGUGACGAAGCGUGAGUGACGGUAAUGGGUAAAGAAGCACCGGCUAACUACGUG
rnacentral:rRNA from 1 species